UCACACUUAGGUUAAACAAAACUAUUAGCUUGUGGCGCUAAACAUGCUUUUUAGCAGUGUGAA
rnacentral:tRNA from 1 species